AAGACUAUACUUUCAGGGAUCAUUUCUAUAGUUCGUUACUAGAGAAGUUUCUCUGAUCGUGUAGAGCACCCGAAACCACGAGGAGGACAUGCAGCAUUCUCUCCUGAGCGUGAAGCCGGCUCUCGGUGUUGCUUCUGCAACUGCUGUUUGCUAUUGAUGAUCGUUCUUUUCUCUCCUGGGGGAGAAGAGGGAGAGGAUGCAUUCUGAGUGGU
rnacentral:snoRNA from 1 species